AAGAAUAUGACACCUAGCUUGCUCUAGAGAGAUUUUCCACGAGUUUAAUGUUGCUGUUGGGUGGAGAGUGGACAAGAAGGAUUCUACGACGCAUCCUCUGCGGUUCACAACUGUUCUUCCUCAAGAGGCUUGCCACAAGGUGCUGCUAGAGAAGAGUGUGGAAGAGAGCAUAACUGGGGUGGAAGGAAUCCUUGUCUAUGUUGGUUGCUUUCACGAAGCAGCAGCAAGUGUAGACAGAGUCAAUGGAAGCUCAUCAGAAUGGAGUCGGAACCUGGAAAAGCAAGUUCCAACCCUAAAUGGAAAAUUCUGCCCCUACAUUUAAUCUUGAUGAAAUGGAUCUCAAUUCUUGGAGUCUAGAAGAGCAAGGAAUUAAGUGAUUGAAGUAUAAAAGGUCCCGAACAGUCUUGACAAGGGGAGGUACUAAUGUGGUGGUAGGGUCGUUGAACUAGUAACUUAGAACUUCAGCCUGAAGUUCUCCGGACGUGGCAGAUGGUGAAAUUUGAAUCGAACAGUAGACUGCAAGUAAAUGUUAGUUUAAUUGCAACUAAUCAAUUGCAAUAAAAACCCCAUCUGAUCUGCUCGACCUUUAGGGAAACAAAUCCGCCAUUCUUACCUGGUCUGGCCAACACAAUUCCACACCCAG